AAUUAUAGAGGCAUUCUUUUUCUAAAAUUACAGAGGCAUUUUUUUCCUGAAAUUUUGAGAAUCUAAUUGCUCUAUUUUGAAGCCUACCAUUGAUAGUCAAAACACAUAAAACUAUGUUCUCUAGAUGGAAAAGUGUCCUUAAAUAGUCAAUAGAGAUAGUAACAGAACUCAUAGUGAGUUGCGAUUCUCAUGUAUGGGCCCUAAAUAUAUUAGCCACAUUUCCCUUGUAAACCCGUCUUCUAUUAUGCUGUAUUGUUAUUAAGCUAUUUUCUUUAGUUCUUACUCCUUAUUUUGUUUUCUUGACUUGAAGCAUUAUAUAUUCGUAACUAUGUCUCUUAAGUGCCAAAAGUGAAGUGACAUCCACAUUUGUGCAACAUUACUAAAAGUGGAUAGAUCAUUGAGUAGUUUUCAUAGCACAAUUUUGCACUUUUAUUAAUGAUGAAGUCUUUGUCAUUUGGUUCUCCUCCAGAUGUGCCAUCUAUGGGAUAUGACAUGUUGCUUGAUAUAGUGGCAAAACGUAUCCAAUAAGAUUAUGCUCUGUUAAGAGGAUUCUAGCCUAGUAUCUUUCUGGUCCCUGCUGUCACCAAGGAAUAAGUUAAAUAAUCUUGAUAUAUGUGAAGGCUAGAAAAUGAUUAGCAGACUCCAUUUUCAUGGAUGUAAAUUUCCCCUCUUUUUUUCUUUUUUCAGUUACCAUUAAAAAAAAUAACUUUUUUUCUUGUGUGUAGUUAUGGUUAGACCGGCCACACCAAAAUCCAAACCUCUACCUAUAAAGUCCAACAAUAGCUCUUCCCUUGGGGAUGAUUGUCUCAAAUAGCCCCUUUUGAGGCCACUGGCCAGUGUUUAUAUUUUGUCCCGGUUUUAAAAAUCUUUGAAUAAUCCAUGCAUUACACAAUCAGAAGCAUGUGAACUACUGCUUUCAGACAACUUUAGAUUAUGUGAAUUCAACCCCAGAGACAAUUUUAGACAGUGGUGUAAUGUUUGCACAUACACUUUGAAUUUUUGUCUAUAGGUAGUUUAGUUUCUUCUACAACUUUAGGCCAUCACCGAAAGUUCUCAGUGAACUUCUAAAAUUAAUUUUUGAGAUGUAAUUAGAGGGACAAGGGUAAUGUGUGAUCUUAGAUUCUUAUAGGGAUCAAUCUUAUUAUUCAUCCAAAAAGAUAUUGGCCUUGAUUACUCGUUUUUGUUAUAAAGCUUUAGGAAGAAUUUACCAGUUACAAAAGAAAUUUUUUUUUAUGAAGGCUGGGAAAAGGCAUAAAUUUAGUUUGGUUGCAAAAGGUUCCUUAUCAGAAUAUAAGGGUCUAAAGCUUUGAGAUUACUUGAGAGAAAAUGAUCCCAGGCACGAAACAAGGUGAUUUUCUAAAAUCCAACUGACAUCAUCCGGGAUAAAUCUUUUGAAGUCACAGAGGACUUCUCUGGGGCUGAAAUCUGGUUUGACUUGGUGGAGAGAAAGAGGAAUUUCAUGCAAUUGUCAUUAGCAACAAAAGGGAAUAAGUAAGAAGGUGUUGAUGUGGCUUUCUGAUUUUAUGCACCUGUCAUCAGCAACAAAGUGGAAUAAGUAUGAUAUCUGGAAAUUAAAUGACCAUUUAUGAUACUAUUUUUUAUCUCAAAAGUACAACAGUUGUGGCAGAGGCAUUAGUGUAGUAGUAGUUCAAGGGGUGAGGAGAUCAGUUAUUGGUCCUGAACUGUCCCUGAACAAAGGAUGGGGAGAUAUAGCAGGAAAAGUUGAUAACUUCAUGCUCAAAGGUGCAGUAAACCCAGUCGUCAGACAACUGUAGAAUCAGAACAUCUCUUAUGCUGAUAUAGCCAGGCAGAGUAAAUGGCAGGCAAAGAAGGGAAAUUUCAUUGUCAAAUAGCAGAGUGAAUGAAUCUGUUGUACUUCUGUAAUCAUGGGAAAUGACUUGAUAAGCAGAUGUCUAGUAAGGGGGUUUUUCAGCGAUGCUGGAAGGUCUCACUCAGUCAGAACAGUGAAGAUAGUAGCGGCUAAAUGGAAAUUAGCUAAUGAACUGUAGUUUUGUUUAAAUUUCCUAAUGAGGAAAUGGCCGAACAAGUAAUGCUAGGUGUGACUAGAGAUGGAAACAAGAACCCCCCUUAAGCUGAAAUGGUGGUUGCCCGAUUGCUUGUGCUCAGGAGAAAGCAAUCACUGUUUGCUUGUGGAUCAUGGCUGUCAGUCUACCUCUACAUCUUUGGUCAAAGGAGGUUAUGAAGGAGAUAGAGGAGAAAUGUGGUGGAUGGAUUGUCACAGAGGACACUCUUUAAAAAACACUCCUACAAUUGGCAAGAAUCGAAGUCAAAGGGUCAUGGGAAAAGAGCCCAAAUUUUGUAGAAGUGGACAAUGAUGGUUUGAUUUUCAGCUUCCCAAUCUGGUUCGAAUGUUUGCCGAUGGUGAAUGAAGGUCUGAAGAAUAACGAAGAAGACAGCUGUCAAGCCUAUGGCUAUGCUUUGUGUGAAGUCCCCUCCAGAGCCUGAUAUUAUAGAGGGUAGGGUGGCUCGGUGUGUAGGCCCACCAUUUUUAAAAUUUUUGAACACCUAGAUUUACCUUUGGGGUGUGUAGGUGAACUGAAUAAUAUUGGACUCAAUCAGGGGUUUAAACCAAACUUUGGACUCGGUUCACAGGCUCAAUUCUUUCUUAAAGAAGUGAGAGGUUGAGCCUGGUUACGAUUUAAGUAAAAAUUUCCAAAUGACUUCAGUCUCUUAACCAAGGUGGAUUAUAUACAUGAAAAUAUUGAAGCUAACAACUUAUAUGAUACACGAAGCUGUGACUCGCUACGUGGGUAGAGUCAGUAGUAGAUACUCAAGUCUAGUAAAUUCUUGCAAAUUACAGAUGCUUCAAAUAUUAGACGGAGACGGUGAAGAGGAUAGUGAUGAAGAGAUGUAUGAGGGGGAACGGGUUUGGAUAAUCAUGACGACAAUGGUUUGUGUGGAGCAAUCACGCCAAUUUUCAGUAGAGGGUAUUCAAUCUUUGGAUAUUCAGAUUCAGCUAGCUGAGUUUCAUGGGUAGAAAUGGGAGGUGUGGUUGUUCCUGUAACUGGACAAGAAGAGGGAGGAGAAGCGAAAGGAAGCCAGUAAUCUACUCCCUCUACCCUGAAACCGGAUGACCAGAAUGAAGGGAAGAAUCUAUCGUUUGGAGAUUUAUUUAUAAAAGCUUGAGUAAAACAAAGAUGAAAACAUGCAAUCCCUUCAGCAGUAUGGUGGACCGUUUGGAAGGAAAAGAAUGUGAGGAUUUUUGUAAGCAAAUCAGAAUCUGUAGUUAGUACCAAGUACAGAUGUUUAUCCCCUUUUUUGGUGUAACUUGGCAAUUGCAAAUGAUAUAGAAGCCGUGAUAUAUUUUUUGAGCUCA